rnacentral:rRNA from 1 species
GAUGAACGCUGGCGGCGUGCCUAAUACAUGCCAGUCGAGCGAACGGACGAGAAGCUUGCUUCUCUGAUGUUAGCGGCGGACGGGUGAGUAACACGUGGAUAACCUACCUAUAAGACUGGGAUAACUUCGGGAAACCGGAGCUAAUACCGGAUAAUAUUUUGAACCGCAUGGUUCAAAAGUGAAAGACGGUCUUGCUGUCACUUAUAGAUGGAUCCGCGCUGCAUUAGCUAGUUGGUAAGGUAACGGCUUACCAAGGCAACGAUGCAUAGCCGACCUGAGAGGGUGAUCGGCCACACUGGAACUGAGACACGGUCCAGACUCCUACGGGAGGCAGCAGUAGGGAAUCUUCCGCAAUAGGCGAAAGCCUGACGGAGCAACGCCGCGUGAGUGAUGAAGGUCUUCGGAUCGUAAAACUCUGUUAUUAGGGAAGAACAUAUGUGUAAGUAACUGUGCACAUCUUGACGGUACCUAAUCAGAAAGCCACGGCUAACUACGUG